rnacentral:rRNA from 1 species
CCCUUAGAUGUCCGGGGCUGCACGCACGCUACACUGAAGGAAUCAGCGUGCUAAAACCAUUGUCGAAAGGCAUUGGUAAACCCAUUAAAAUCCUACGUGAUUGGGAUCGGGAAUUGCAAUUAUUUCCCUUGAACGAGGAAUUCCCAGUAAGUGUGGGUCAUAAGCUCGCGUUGAUUACGUCCCUGCCCUUUGUACACACCGCCCGUCGCUGCCCGGGACUGAGCCGUUUCGAGAAAAGCGGGGACUGCUGCUGUCGGGGCUUUCGGGCCUUGGCUUCGGUGGAAACCGCUUUAAUCGCAGUGGCUUGAACCGGGCAAAAGUCGUAACA